UACGUAGGGGGCUAGCGUUGCUCGGAAUCACUGGGCGUAAAGGGUGCGUAGGCGGGUCUUUUAAGUCAGGGGUGAAAUCCUGGAGCUCAACUCCAGAACUGCCUUUGAUACUGAAGAUCUUGAGUUCGGGAGAGGUGAGUGGAACUGCGAGUGUAGAGGUGAAAUUCGUAGAUAUUCGGAAGAACACCAGUGGCGAAGGCGGACUCACUGGUCCGGUACUGGACGCUGAUGUGCGAAAGCGUGGGGAGCA
rnacentral:rRNA from 1 species